AGUGAACGCUGGCGGUAAGCCUAACACAUGCAAGUCGAACGGCAGCACAGUAAGAGCUUGCUCUUACGGGUGGCGAGUGGCGGACGGGUGAGGAAUACAUCGGAAUCUACUUUUUCGUGGGGGAUAACGUAGGGAAACUUACGCUAAUACCGCAUACGACCUACGGGUGAAAGCAGGGGAUCUUCGGACCUUGCGCGAUUGAAUGAGCCGAUGUCGGAUUAGCUAGUUGGCGGGGUAAAGGCCCACCAAGGCGACGAUCCGUAGCUGGUCUGAGAGGAUGAUCAGCCACACUGGAACUGAGACACGGUCCAGACUCCUACGGGAGGCAGCAGUGGGGAAUAUUGGACAAUGGGCGCAAGCCUGAUCCAGCCAGACCGCGUGGGUGAAGAAGGCCUUCGGGUUGUAAAGCCCUUUUGUUGGGAAAGAAAAGCAGCAGGUUAAUACCCCGCUGUUCUGACGGUACCCAAAGAAUAAGCACCGGCGAACUUCGU
rnacentral:rRNA from 1 species